UUUGGGGUGAGAGCGGCGGACGGGUGAGUAAUGUCUGGGAAACUGCCUGAUGGAGGGGGAUAACUACUGGAAACGGUAGCUAAUACCGCAUAACGUCUUCGGACCAAAGAGGGGGACCUUCGGGCCUCUUGCCAUCAGAUGUGCCCAGAUGGGAUUAGCUAGUAGGUGAGGUAAUGGCUCACCUAGGCGACGAUCCCUAGCUGGUCUGAGAGGAUGACCAGCCACACUGGAACUGAGACACGGUCCAGACUCCUACGGGAGGCAGCAGUGGGGAAUAUUGCACAAUGGGCGCAAGCCUGAUGCAGCCAUGCCGCGUGUGUGAAGAAGGCCUUCGGGUUGUAAAGCACUUUCAGCGGGGAGGAAGGCGGUGAGGUUAAUAACCUCAUCGAUUGACGUUACCCGCAGAAGAAGCACCGGCUAACUCCGUGCCAGCAGCCGCGGUAAUACGGAGGGUGCAAGGGUUAAUCGGAAUGACUGGGCGUAAAGCGCACGCAGGCGGUUUGUUAAGUCAGAUGUGAAAUCCCCGAGCUUAACUUGGGAACUGCAUUUGAAACUGGCAAGCUAGAGUCUUGUAGAGGGGGGUAGAAUUCCAGGUGUAGCGGUGAAAUGCGUAGAGAUCUGGAGGAAUACCGGUGGCGAANGCGGCCCCCUGGACAAAGACUGACGCUCAUGUGCAAAAGCGUGGGGAGCAAACAGGAGCAG
rnacentral:rRNA from 1 species